rnacentral:rRNA from 1 species
AAGGGGAUUGCCCCAGUAGCGGCGAGUGAAGCGGCAAGAGCUCAGAUUUGAAAUCGUGUUUGGCCGAGUUGUAGAGUGUAGGCGGGAGUCUCUGUGGAGCGCGGUGUCCAAGUCCCUUGGAACAGGGUGCCUGAGAGGGUGAGAGCCCCGUAGGGUGCUGCGCGAAGCUUUUGAGGCCCUGCUGACGAGUCGAGUUGUUUGGGAAUGCAGCUCCAAGCGGGUGGUAAAUUCCAUCUAAGGCUAAAUAUUGGCGAGAGACCGAUAGCGAACAAGUACUGUGAAGGAAAGAUGAAAAGCACUUUGAAAAGAGAGUGAAACAGCACGUGAAAUUGUUGAAAGGGAAGGGUAUUGGGCUCGACAUGGGGGGUGCGCACCGCUGUCUCUUGUAGGCGGCGCUCUGGGCGCCCUCUGGGCCAGCAUCGGUUCCUGCUGCGGGAGAAGGGGCUCCGGAAAGUGGCUCUUCGGAGUGUUAUAGCCGGGGCCAGAUGCCGCGUGUGGGGACCGAGGACUGCGGCUUCUGUCUCGGAUGCUGGCAUAACGGCGCAAUACCGCCCGUCUUGA